rnacentral:rRNA from 1 species
GGAUUCCCCUAGUAACUGCGAGUGAAGCGGGAAAAGCUCAAAUUUAAAAUCUGGCAGUCUCUGGCUGUCCGAGUUGUAAUCUAGAGAAGUAAUGCCCGUGCUGGACCGUGUAUAAGUCUCCUGGGAUGGGGCGUCAUAGAGGGUGAGAAUCCCGUCUUUGACACGGACUACCAGUGCAUUGUGGUAUGCUCUCAAAGAGUCGAGUUGUUUGGGAAUGCAGCUCAAAAUGGGUGGUAAAUUCCAUCUAAAGCUAAAUAUUGGCGAGAGACCGAUAGCGAACAAGUACCGUGAGGGAAAGAUGAAAAGAACUUUGGAAAGAGAGUUAAACAGUACGUGAAAUUGCUGAAAGGGAAACGCUUGAAGUCAGUCGCGUUGGCCGGGAAUCAGCCUUGCUUCUGCAUGGUGUACUUUCUGGUUGACGGGUCAGCAUCAAUUUUGACCGCUGGAAAAAGGCCUGGGGAAUGUGGCAGCUUCGGCUGUGUUAUAGCCCCUAGUUGCAUACAGUGGUUGGGAUUGAGGAACUCAGCACGCCGCAAGGCCGGGUUUCGACCACGUUCGUGCUUAGGAUGCUGGCAUAAUGGCUUUAAGCGACCCGUCUUGAAACACGGACCAAGGAGUCUAACAUGCCUGCGAGUAUUUGGGUGGAAAACUCAAGUGCGUAAUGAAAGUGAAAGUUGAGAUCCCUGUCGUGGGGAGCAUCGACGCCCGGACCAGAACUUUUGGGACGGAUCCGCGGUGGAGCAUGUAUGUUGGGACCCGAAAGAUGGUGAACUAUGCCUGAAUAGGGUGAAGCCAGAGGAAACUCUGGUGGAGGCUCGUAGCGAUUCUGACGUGCAAAUCGAUCGUCAAAUUUGGGUAUAGGGGCGAAAGACUAAUCGAAC